CCCUCCCGCUUCUCUCACUUUUGCACAACUUUCUCCUCAUCUUAUAGGACACUGCAGCACUUCUGCUUUGUUAGCCGAGUUUCCACCGCGCGGAGCAACUUCGCUCUUAGUUUGACGCCACUCCAUCUAUUCCAUUCCCCGUAUUCUAUGGGGUUUUUUUUCUACACGGGAAAGGAGCCUAGAACGAGCACAAUCAGGCGGCCAUGACAGGAUUAUGAGAAGCCAAUGAGGCCUGCAAAAGAAUGUCUUCAGAGGAGCGUCACCUCCUGCACUAUUUUUUUUUUUUUUUGCCUCUCCCUCCCUCAGACGAUCCAUGUGGGCGGAUUCGACCCACAAGACAGAAGGGUGGGAGGAACCACGUUGAAUACACAUGCAGGGCUAAUAUGUUCAACGUACACAAAUAGAUAAAUGCAUGCAAUGGAGGAGUGAUGCGGGAGGAUGGUGCUGAUUUAUUGCCAUCUGCUCUCUCUCUCUCUCUCUUUGUGCUGCUGGAUGGAUGCACAAACACCAUUUUGUCUACAGGUUCCAUUGACAUCAGCGGUCAUGUGGCACCGCAGGAGUGCGUCUACAAAAGCCGUGCCGUCCAAAACACAAACAAUAAAAAGACAAUACGCAGAUAUUCAACAAUGGUAUGAUUUGAUCAGACAUUUUGACACACUACCUGAUGGCUAAAUGAGGUACUAAUUCUGCAUUAUUGACAUUUAGGAAAAAAAAAAAUCUAUUCAAAAUGUCAUUAUUUGUUAAAAUGUUCUUAUAUGUAUUGUUGCGAUUUUGACGCACUCAUGCAGCCAAAUAAAAAGCUUACAUCUUAGAAACCUGCAAUAUGGGCAUUUAGGACAAAAUAUGUUCUUGAAUCUUGUUAUAAUUUAUUAUAUUAUUUUUGUAUUUAUUGCGGUGAUUUUGACUCACAAAACAAACAUAUACAGUCAUGGCCAAAAAUAUU